GACUGGAUCUGAUGUCAAAUUCAUCAUAAUGUGGCUCAGAGAGGAGGGACUCAGUGUUCAUAUGAUCUCGUAUCUGACAGAGACUGAGGUUGAAUCGAUUCAGCUUGACUCUUCUCAGAGUGAACACAUGUACAAUGAAUCUUCAUUCAGCUAUUCUGUUCUGUGCCUCAGCAGCUGCUGUCUUUGGGAAUGUUAUUAAACCAAACAAAACAGAUGUUUUUGCUGAGGAAGGUUCAAAUGUUACAUUAUCCUGUAAUUUCACUGCAUCUGGAGGGAAUGAUUAUCUCCACUGGUACCGUCAGUACGGAAGAUCAAAACCUGAAUUUAUUGUACUCACCUACAGCAAUAAAAAAGAUGCUCGGCAGUCUGAUGUAGAUUCAAGAUUCUCUGUUAAUAUUCCAAAAAGUGAACGUGUGGAUCUGAAGAUCUCCUCUGCUGCUGUAUCUGACUCUGCUCUGUACUACUGUGCUCUGGCGCCCACAGUGACAGGAAACACAAGAACACUGCACAAAAACCUGUUACAAUGAGAGAAAAAUGCAAACAUGAUCAAAACAUGAAAAUAAGAUUCUAAAGUUAGUCAAAAGGCCAGGUUUUUUUUUUUACAGUAUAAAAAUUGUGUGGCAUUAUGAAAUGUGAAUUACAGCAAAUCCAUAUAAUACUGUCCUCUAAUAGACUGGUCACUUUAGAAAAAUUCUACUGUGCAGAAAAUAAAAUACCUCAUUUGCAUGAAGGUGUAUGAGA